GAGUUUGAUCAUGGCUCAGGAUGAACGCUAGCGGGAGGCCUAACACAUGCAAGCCGAGCGGUAUUGUUUCUUCGGAAUGAGAGAGCGGCGUACGGGUGCGGAACACGUGUGCAACCUGCCUUUAUCUGGGGGAUAGCCUUUCGAAAGGAAGAUUAAUACUCCAUAAUAUAUUGAACGGCAUCGUUUAAUAUUGAAAGCUCCGGCGGAUAGAGAUGGGCACGCGCAAGAUUAGCUAGUUGGUGAGGUAACGGCUCACCAAGGCAAUGAUCUUUAGGGGGCCUGAGAGGGUGAUCCCCCACACUGGUACUGAGACACGGACCAGACUCCUACGGGAGGCAGCAGUGAGGAAUAUUGGUCAAUGGGUGCAAGCCUGAACCAGCCAUCCCGCGUGAAGGACGACUGCCCUAUGGGUUGUAAACUUCUUUUGUAUAGGGAUAAACCUACCCUCGUGAGGGUAGCUGAAGGUACUAUACGAAUAAGCACCGGCUAACUCCGUG
rnacentral:rRNA from 1 species